GUACUCGCUUCGGCGGUACGUACACUAAAAUUGGAACGAUACAGAGAAGAGUAGCAUGUCCUCUGCGCAAAGAUGACACCAAAAUCGCUGGAAGCGAAUGACAGAACA